AUCAACUUUCGAUGGUAGGAUAGAGGCCUACCAUGGUGGUAACGGGUAACGGGGUGUUAGGGCACGACACCGGAGAGGGAGCCUGAGAAAUGGCUACCACAUCCAAGGAUGGCAGCAGGCGCGCAAAUUACCCAAUCCCGACACGGGGAGGUAGUGACAAUAAAUAACAAUACGGGGUUCUUUCGGAUCUCGUAAUUGGAAUGAGUACAAUUUAAAUCUCUUAACGAGGAACAAUUGGAGGGCAAGUCUGGUGCCAGCAGCCGCGGUAAUUCCAGCUCCAAUAGCGUAUAUUAAAGUUGUUGCAGUUAAAAAGCUCGUAGUUGAAUUUCGGGGUUAGUAGGUUGGUCAUGCCUCUGGUAUGUACUGGUCUCACUGAUUCCUCCUUCCUGAUGAACCGUAAUGCCAUUAAUUUGGUGUUGCGGGGAAUUUGGACUGUUACUUUGAAAAAAUUAGAGUGUUUAAAGCAAGCUAACGCUUGAAUACAUUAGCAUGGAAUAAUGAAAUAGGACGUUCGAUCCUAUUUUGUUGGUUUCUAGGAUUGACGUAAUGAUUAAUAGGGAUAGUUGGGGGCAUUAGUAUUCAAUUGUCAGAGGUGAAAUUCUUGGAUUUAUUGAAGACUAACUACUGCGAAAGCAUUUGCCAAGGAUGUUUUCAUUAAUCAAGAACGAAAGUUAGGGGAUCGAAGACGAUCAGAUACCGUCGUAGUCUUAACCAUAAACUAUGCCGACUAGGGAUCGGAUGAUGUUAAUUUUUUAAUGACUCAUUCGGCGCCUUACGGGAAACCAAAGUGUUUGGGUUC
rnacentral:rRNA from 1 species